rnacentral:lncRNA from 1 species
CUUUUGGUGUGGAGAGUGGUUUGGUGGUGGUUUGGGAGUCGUGGACUGUGGUGAUAAUUUUGGACUUGGAUUCUGGCAAAGGUUUGGACUUGGAUACUGGUUACGUUUUUGGACUCAGAUUCUGGCGAAGGUUUGGACUUGGAUAUUGGAAAACCUGCUUGGACUUUGACACGGUGUUGUGGACACUGACCACAAAACAACUGACCUAUCAGCAAUGAGGUGGCAAGCAUGUCAGGACCUCAGGUCCAACACCUUUGGAG